rnacentral:rRNA from 1 species
GACGUAGGGCGCGAGCGUUGUCCGGAUUUAUUGGGCGUAAAAGAGCUCGUAGGCGGCUUGUGCGUCGGCUGUGAAAAACUCGGGGGCUCAACUCCGAGCUUGCAGUCGAUACGGGCAGGCUAGAGUUCGGCAGGGGGAGACUGGAAUUCCUGGUGUAGCGGUGAAAAUGCGCAGAUAUCAGGAGGAACACCGGUGGCGAAGGCGGUGAGCUGGGGCAGUAGCUGACACUGAGGCGCGACAGCGUGGGGGGAGCAAAACAGG